rnacentral:piRNA from 1 species
UAAUUGUAAAAUUUCUCCAGAUGU